UCUCCGUAGGUGAACCUGCGGAGGGAUCAUUACUGAGUGAGGGCUCCGGCCCGACCUCCAACCCUAUUUGAACCGAAACCUGUUGCUUCGGGGGCGACCCUGCCGUUCGCGGCGUGGGGCCCCCGGAGCCCAUCAAACCCUGCGUAACUAAGUCGUCGGAGUUUAAACAAAUUAAACAAAUCUUUCAACGACGGAUCUCUUGGUUCUGGCAUCGAUGAAGAACGCAGC
rnacentral:misc_RNA from 1 species